UUCUGAAGCCUGUUAGGAUUACUGUGUGUA
rnacentral:piRNA from 1 species